GGAGCUGACCUUCUCCUACAUCGCCUUUGAUGGUGUAGUGGGCUCCGGGGGCCGCAGGGAUUCAACUGCCCGCCGCCCCCGCCCCCAGGGCCGCUCAGUCUCGGAACCACGAGACCAGCACCCUCAGCCCAGCCUGGGCGACAGCUUGGAGAGCAUCCCCAGCCUGAGCCAAUCCCCGGAGCCUGGACGACGGGGUGAUCCUGACACCGCGCCUCCAUCCGAGCGCCCUCUGGAAGACCUGAGGCUUCGGUUGGACCAUCUGGGCUGGGUGGCCCGGGGAACGGGAUCCGGGGAGGACUCUUCCACCAGCAGCUCCACCCCGCUGGAAGACGAAGAACCCCAAGAACCCAACAGAUUGGAGACAGGAGAAGCUGGGGAAGAACUGGACCUACGACUCCGACUUGCUCAGCCCUCAUCGCCCGAGGUCUUGACUCCCCAGCUCAGUCCGGGCUCUGGGACACCCCAGGCCGGUACUCCGUCCCCAUCCCGAUCGCGAGAUUCGAACUCUGGGCCCGAAGAGCCAUUGCUGGAAGAGGAAGAAAAGCAGUGGGGGCCACUGGAGCGAGAGCCAGUAAGGGGACAGUGCCUCGAUAGCACGGACCAAUUAGAAUUCACGGUGGAGCCACGCCUUCUAGGUAAGCAACGUGUAUGAAGAUGCUGCAUUGGCCCACAGAAGGCAAAAGGUGAGAGGAUUUUGAAUUAAAGGGACCAACCUCGCAAAGGAACAGUACAUAGUGGAAAAGGGAAGAGAUAGACGUGAUAUCACAUCUGGCUAGACGUGAUAAACUCCGCUUUUUAAAAAAAUUUCCCCGGCCGGGCGCGGUGGCUCAUGCCUGUAAUCCCAGCCCUUUGGGAGGCCGAGGCGGGCGGAUCACUUGAGGUGAGGAGUUCGAGAUCAGCCUGGCCAACAUGGUG
rnacentral:lncRNA from 1 species